UUAAGCGACUAAGCGUACACGGUGGAUGCCCUGGCAGUCAGAGGCGAUGAAGGACGUGCUAAUCUGCGAAAAGCGUCGGUAAGGUGAUAUGAACCGUUAUAGCCGGCGAUGUCCGAAUGGGGAAACCCAGUGCAAUUCGUUGCACUAUCGUUAACUGAAUACAUAGGUUAACGAGGCGAACCGGGGGAACUGAAACAUCUAAGUACCCCGAGGAAAAGAAAUCAACCGAGAUUCCCCCAGUAGCGGCGAGCGAACGGGGAGCAGCCCAGAGUCUGAAUCAGCUUGUGUGUUAGUGGAACGGUCUGGAAAGUCCGACGGUACAGGGUGAUAGUCCCGUACACCAAAAUGCACAGGCUGUGAACUCGAAGAGUAGGGCGGGACACGUGGUAUCCUGUCUGAAUAUGGGGGGACCAUCCUCCAAGGCUAAAUACUCCUGACUGACCGAUAGUGAACCAGUACCGUGAGGGAAAGGCGAAAAGAACCCCGGCGAGGGGAGUGAAAAAGAACCUGAAACCGUGUACGUACAAGCAGUGGGAGCACCUUCGGGUGUGACUGCGUACCUUUUGUAUAAUGGGUCAGCGACUUAUAUUCUGUAGCAAGGUUAACCGUAUAGGGGAGCCGCAGGGAAACCGAGUCUUAACUGGGCGUUAAGUUGCAGGGUAUAGACCCGAAACCCGGUGAUCUAGCCAUGGGCAGGUUGAAGGUUGGGUAACACUAACUGGAGGACCGAACCGACUAAUGUUGAAAAAUUAGCGGAUGACUUGUGGCUGGGGGUGAAAGGCCAAUCAAACCGGGAGAUAGCUGGUUCUCCCCGAAAGCUAUUUAGGUAGCGCCUCGUGAAUUCAUCUUCGGGGGUAGAGCACUGUUUCGGCUAGGGGGUCAUCCCGACUUACCAACCCGAUGCAAACUACGAAUACCGAAGAAUGUUAUCACGGGAGACACACGGCGGGUGCUAACGUCCGUCGUGAAGAGGGAAACAACCCAGACCGCCAGCUAAGGUCCCAAAGUCAUGGUUAAGUGGGAAACGAUGUGGGAAGGCACAGACAGCCAGGAUGUUGGCUUAGAAGCAGCCAUCAUUUAAAGAAAGCGUAAUAGCUCACUGGUCGAGUCGGCCUGCGCGGAAGAUGUAACGGGGCUAAACCAUGCACCGAAGCUGCGGCAGCGACACUAUGUGUUGUUGGGUAGGGGAGCGUUCUGUAAGCCUGCGAAGGUGUGCUGUGAGGCAUGCUGGAGGUAUCAGAAGUGCGAAUGCUGACAUAAGUAACGAUAAAGCGGGUGAAAAGCCCGCUCGCCGGAAGACCAAGGGUUCCUGUCCAACGUUAAUCGGGGCAGGGUGAGUCGACCCCUAAGGCGAGGCCGAAAGGCGUAGUCGAUGGGAAACAGGUUAAUAUUCCUGUACUUGGUGUUACUGCGAAGGGGGGACGGAGAAGGCUAUGUUAGCCGGGCGACGGUUGUCCCGGUUUAAGCAUGUAGGCUGAUUGUCCAGGCAAAUCCGGAUAAUCAAGGCUGAGGUGUGAUGACGAGGCACUACGGUGCUGAAGUAACAAAUGCCCUGCUUCCAGGAAAAGCCUCUAAGCAUCAGGUAACAUUAAAUCGUACCCCAAACCGACACAGGUGGUCAGGUAGAGAAUACCAAGGCGCUUGAGAGAACUCGGGUGAAGGAACUAGGCAAAAUGGUGCCGUAACUUCGGGAGAAGGCACGCUGGUGUGUAGGUGAAGCCCCUGCGGGUGGAGCUGAGACCAGUCGAAGAUACCAGCUGGCUGCAACUGUUUAUUAAAAACACAGCACUGUGCAAACACGAAAGUGGACGUAUACGGUGUGACGCCUGCCCGGUGCCGGAAGGUUAAUUGAUGGGGUUAUCCGUAAGGAGAAGCUCUUGAUCGAAGCCCCGGUAAACGGCGGCCGUAACUAUAACGGUCCUAAGGUAGCGAAAUUCCUUGUCGGGUAAGUUCCGACCUGCACGAAUGGCGUAAUGAUGGCCAGGCUGUCUCCACCCGAGACUCAGUGAAAUUGAACUCGCUGUGAAGAUGCAGUGUACCCGCGGCAAGACGGAAAGACCCCGUGAACCUUUACUAUAGCUUGACACUGAACAUUGAGCCUUGAUGUGUAGGAUAGGUGGGAGGCUUUGAAGCGUGGACGCCAGUCUGCGUGGAGCCAACCUUGAAAUACCACCCUUUAAUGUUUGAUGUUCUAACGUUGGCCCCUGACCGGGGUUGCGGACAGUGUCUGGUGGGUAGUUUGACUGGGGCGGUCUCCUCCCAAAGCGUAACGGAGGAGCACGAAGGUUAGCUAAUCCUGGUCGGACAUCAGGAGGUUAGUGCAAUGGCAUAAGCUAGCUUGACUGCGAGCGUGACGGCGCGAGCAGGUGCGAAAGCAGGUCAUAGUGAUCCGGUGGUUCUGAAUGGAAGGGCCAUCGCUCAACGGAUAAAAGGUACUCCGGGGAUAACAGGCUGAUACCGCCCAAGAGUUCAUAUCGACGGCGGUGUUUGGCACCUCGAUGUCGGCUCAUCACAUCCUGGGGCUGAAGUAGGUCCCAAGGGUAUGGCUGUUCGCCAUUUAAAGUGGUACGCGAGCUGGGUUUAGAACGUCGUGAGACAGUUCGGUCCCUAUCUGCCGUGGGCGCUGGAGAAUUGAGGGGGGCUGCUCCUAGUACGAGAGGACCGGAGUGGACGCAUCACUGGUGUUCGGGUUGUCAUGCCAAUGGCACUGCCCGGUAGCUAAAUGCGGAAGAGAUAAGUGCUGAAAGCAUCUAAGCACGAAACUUGCCCCGAGAUGAGUUCUCCCUGAGACUUUAAGUCUCCUGAAGGAACGUUAAAGACGAUGACGUUGAUAGGCCGGGUGUGUAAGCGCAGCGAUGCGUUGAGCUAACCGGUACUAAUGAACCGUGAGGCUUAACCUU
rnacentral:rRNA from 4 species